AGCGGCGGACGGGUGAGUAAUGCCUGGGAAUAUGCCCUGAUGUGGGGGAUAACUAUUGGAAACGAUAGCUAAUACCGCAUAAUCUCUUCGGAGCAAAGAGGGGGACCUUCGGGCCUCUCGCGUCAGGAUUAGCCCAGGUGGGAUUAGCUUGUUGGUGAGGUAAUGGCUCACCAAGGCAACGAUCCCUAGCUGGUCUGAGAGGAUGAUCAGCCACACUGGAACUGAGACACGGUCCAGACUCCUACGGGAGGCAGCAGUGGGGAAUAUUGCACAAUGGGGGAAACCCUGAUGCAGCCAUGCCGCGUGUGUGAAGAAGGCCUUCGGGUUGUAAAGCACUUUCAGUAGGGAGGAAGGUAGUGUAGUUAACACCUGCACUAUUUGACGUUACCUACAGAAGAAGCACCGGCUAACUCCGUGCCAGCAGCCGCGGUAAUACGGAGGGUGCGAGCGUUAAUCGGAAUUACUGGGCGUAAAGCGCAUGCAGGCGGCCUGUUAAGUCAGAUGUGAAAGCCCGGGGCUUAACCUCGGAAUUGCAUUUGAAACUGGUAGG
rnacentral:rRNA from 1 species